AAAAGCUUGUAAGUUUGAUAAACCCAUUUGUUUAUUUUCGCUCUUUCUAUUGCCUUGGGAGACUGACCUAAGAAAACAUCGGUAUGAUUUAUGUCACAGACUAUUCCGCCUAUGUUCUCUUCUAGGAGUUAUACAGUGUCAUGUCUUACACGUAAGUCUUUAAGCCAUUUUGAGUUUUAUUUUUGUGUAUGGUAUUGGCUGGAGUGAAGAGAGGUAAAGUCUAAGACCAGUCAUUGAUUCACUUAAUUAUAAAUAGGAAUUGGGAAUGUCAAAUUAUCACAUCCCCACUCUGGGACAGUCUCUGCCCUGUUACUCAGGAACUCCCCCCUCCCCAUAAGAUGUAUCGUCCCAUGUGUUUUCUGAGGCCAGUGUUACAGGGGCUUGUCCCCGCCACUGUUUCCUGCUCUCCCCCUCGUCCCGUGUGUUCCUGCCCCUCCCCAAGGAGGUGAUGCUGUCCCCCACUCAGCCCUGGGCCUGGGCAGUCCAGGCUCCCUGUCAUGACCAGCUCGGCAGUCCAGGGAGGCACCUGCAGCCAGUGAAAUGUGCAGGAACAGCGGCUGAGCGACUUCAGGGAGGAUCCUCUGCAGUAAAAUCACAAGGUGUUUAUUUAGCACCCGCUCUGCACGAGGCACUGUGUUGGUGCCGUGAAGAACAUGCAGGUGGACGAGGCGUGGCUCCUGUCCUCUGCAGGCUCACUGUCCAGCAUGGGAACUUGGUCAUGGACACAAGUGACCGUCACACCAAGGCAGAAAACAAAUAAUGCUACAAGAUCGGCCUCCACCAGGUAUUAAGAGAAUCCAGAGGAAGAAAAUAUUACUCUGAGAUGAGAAUAAGAGAUUACAGAAGGUGCCCUAGAGACGUGACAGGUCAGAUGUGGAUGGGAGAAAACGAAGAGGAAAAAGCAAUCCAGGAUGACCGCACGCAGAGGCAGAGGCAGAGGCCCGCCUGCCACUGCUGAUGGAGGUGGUCGGGCCAGGACUCGUCGUGUGGGUCCAGGGCUGGGGAAAGACACCAGCGGGUAUGAUAUGCUCGGUUCCGUGGAGGAUGCAUCCAUCUGUAGCAAAGCUGUAAAAGGAGGUGCUUUGAUCGGAACUGUUUUAUGAAGCAUAAUCUGAGGGUGACAGAGUGACUCUGGGGAAAGAGGCCGGCUUAAAAAUGAUUACAAGAGUCUGCACAAGCACAACAGACAGUGACCAGGAGAAUGAGAUGUUCCAGGUGGGAGGUGGAGACAGAAUUGAGAAGAUUCAGUGACAACUGACCGUGGGAAAGGGCGUGAGAUGUGGGAAAGACGACGGCAC
rnacentral:lncRNA from 1 species